CAGCUGGACAAUGACAAUGAAGCCAUGCAAGAGUUGAACCAGUCACUAUGCAGUCAGCAGUGAAGCUUACACAUCCACGCGGCACAUUGCUAAUACAUGUACAAUGGAGCAG